rnacentral:rRNA from 1 species
GUGCGGAGCCGUAGCGAAAGCGAGUUUUAACUGAGCGUUCAGUUACUUGACGUAGACCCGAAACCGGGCGACCUACCCAUGAGCAGGAUGAAGCGAAAGUAAAAUUUCGUGGAGGUCCGAACCCACGAGCGUUGAAAAGCUCGGGGAUGACUUGUGGGUAGCGGUGAAAUUCCAAUCGAGCCCGGAGAUAGCUGGUUCUCCCCGAAAUAGCUUUAGGGCUAGCCUCAAGGUGAGAGAUACGGAGGUAGAGCACUGAAUGUCCUAGGGGGUAUUGCACCUACCGAAGACUAUCAAACUCCGAAUGCCGUCAUCUUAUACUUGGGAGUCAGACUGUGGGUGAUAAGAUUCAUAGUCGAAAGGGCAACAGCCCAGAUCGUCAGCUAAGGUCCCUAAAUGUAAGUUAAGUGGUAAAGGAUGUGGGAUUGCACAGACAACCAGGAUGUUGGCUUAGAAGCAGCCACUCAUUCAAAGAGUGCGUAAUAGCUCACUGGUCGAGUGAUCCUGCGCCGAAGAUUUCCGGGGCUAAAACUUACUACCGAAGCUACGGCAUCAGUAAUGAUGGGUAGGGGAGCUUCCCAUACGGGUUGAAGCAUGACCGUAAGGACAUGUGGACAGUAUGGGAGUGAGAAUGUUGGCA